CUUCUGUCCCGGAGCAAAUGGUAACUGGGUCCCUUCCACGUCAACCGGGAAAUAGACGCAUUUCUUCACAUUUCAGAUCCAGUCUCGUGGCCCGAAGCCAGACUGGCCUCACUCAAAGUCAGGCCUGGAGAGGCGUGCCGCUGUGGCCCCUCUCCAGGCCUGGGGACCCCAGGGAAGAGGUAGCGUGUGAAGGAGCUUCAGGCCGAGGGUCCCACGUCACUCCCUCCUGGCCCCCAUUCCGUGGUCUGGGCCCCUCAUGCCCCUCCCUGCCUUCCUUCGGGCCCCCGCAAGCCCCCUCUUGUCACUGAGUGGAGUCCAAGGUCCAACUUUUAUGAAGUCCAGAACUUCAUAAAACGCUGAUCACAUUUCACUCCCCCACUUACACCCUCCUGCCUUUCUGUUGUGCCCUCCUGACUCCAUCCCAACCCAGACAAGGAAGCAUGUACCCAUUCACCCAGCAGCAGGCAGCCAGGGAAAGCCCUGGGCAUCUGCGCUUCGGGGUCAUCCAAAGGGGCUCCUCAGGGCUGACUUCCCUGCCCCAGUCAUUUUCAAGCUUCUACUCCGGCUGCACAACCGUCUUGCUGUUCCUUGAUGUCAGAGGAGAAAGGCUGUGCGGGGAUAGAGGAGACAGGGCAGGAAGUCCUGGGAUUGCACACCUAAUGCAGCCUGAGGGGCCGCACCCCAAGACUGACGGAGCUGGAGUUUCCUGCCUCCCUGGCAGCACAGACUCAAAGUUUAAGUGACGAUAAGACAUCCUGCGCUUCACUGUCUGUGGUCAGUGACAGAAUGUACUUUUUAUAAACAGCACAGAACAUCCUUAGUGUAUAAUAUUAAUUAUAUACUUACUACAACAGACAACUUGAUUUCUAAACAGAUUUUACAAGACUUAUUCUCUGACUGCAGGAUAACAAAACUAAAAAUUUUUUUUAAAGAUAAGCUGUAAAUAUUCUCCAGAGAAAUGCAAGUUCCACACAGGUUUCAACAACUCCCCUUGGAUAACUUUUGAGGGAACUUAGGCAACUCACGGUCAAAACAAGUCACAAAACACAUGAGGAAAACUUCACUCUGAGUGACAGCCGUUGGAAACACCAGACAAUAAAAUCACAUCCAGAAACCUGUGGAUAUUAGUGUUAUUAGACAUACAAAGUAAUUAUAUGUGUUUAAAGAUUUAAAAGAAACGCUUAAAAAUAUGAGCAAGGAAUAAGAGACUAUAAACUAUGGUCAAGUAAUUUUAAAAAAUCUCUACCCUUUACCUCCCCCGCCCGCUCCCCCCAAAAAAAUCCUUCAAUACUUUGGCCACCUGAUGCAAAGAGCAGACUCAUUGGAAAAGGCCCUGAUGCUGGGAAAGAUUGAAAGCAAAAGGAGAAAAGGGCGGCAGAGGAUGAGAUGGCUGGAUAGCAUCACCAAUUCAAUGGACUUGAAUCUGAGCAAACUCCAGGAGAUGGUGAAGGACAGGGAAGCCUGCUGUGCUGCAGCCCAUGGGGUCCCGAAGAGUUGGCUGUAAGUUAACGACCAAACAACAACAAGCCUUCUAGAAAUGGAAAAUAUAAUAAUUUAUGAUUUUUCUUAACACAAACACCCAUUGAUAGGUUAGACAGGAGUUUAAAUGUGGUUGAAGGGAGAAAUAGAACCAACAUUAUUCAGAGAUGUGAAUAAUCCCUGGCCGGUUUUCACCGCACAGUGCCCUGUGCCUGCAGGAGGUAAGGGCUUCUUCAGGCUGCCAUGAGACUAACGGACAUUCACAGAGUGCCUUAAAUUGACAGUUGGCUGGUCUGAGCCUGUCAUUAUUAUUUGAGGCUUUUAAAACCCUUAACAAAAGUCAGCCAGCCCCGUAGUCCAUCUUAUUACCAUUGCCUCAAUGCAGUUAGAGUUCCACUGCUAGCGUGGAGGCCCGUGCUUCCCCUGCCACCUGAAUCACAUCCUAAUCCACCCCUGGCAAGUCAUGACAACUGUGCCACAGGCCAGAGCUCAUCACCGGCUCACUCAGCACCAGCGGUCAGGGCCCUGCCGUGGGUCUGAAGGGUGUGUGAUGCAUCUUGAAUUCUACCCCUAACUUCUACAGCCUCUUCUGGUACUAACUCUCUUAAUUCAGAUUCCCUCCCAAAGCAGAAUCUAUGACACGGGACUUGGUCUAGUGGGCAAAUAGUUCAUUUUUGGAAGUGAUCCCUGGGAUCCAGAAUGGAGGCCCUGGAAGAGAGAGACAGGGAAAGUGCGGGGAAUCCCACAGCACGUGUAUUCUUGAGUUAUUGCUGUGGAGUACUUGAGAAAACGUGUAGGAUGUCAGAACUGUCCACUGAUGCACAGAAGCCCAGGAGGCAUGUAUCCACUGGCACCCAUUCCUUACGGCUCCAGGGUUGCCCUGCAGACUGCCUCUCCCGGGGUGCACGUGUGUCCGGGAGGUUGAGUGAACUCCAGAAGCAUCCCAAGCAGCAGCAGUAGAGACCCAGGGGUGUGCAGUGCAGCUGAGGCACGUGGCAGCCAGGCCCCACCCGCACAACCAGAUGGUUGCUGUAGCCAUGGCUGGGACAAGAAAGUGGACCCAGAGCACACGAGUCUAGAGCAUAAAGGACAACCGAUUCGGCUCUACUUACUUUUAAAUCGAAGUAUAGUUGCUUUACAGUGUGGCGCCAGUAUCUGUGGUAUAGCAAAGCGACUCCGUUAUACACAUAUUCUUUAAAAAUCAUUUCCCAUUAUGAUUUACCCCAGGAGAUUGGAUAUAGUUUCCUGUGAUAUAUAAUAGGACCUUGUUGUUUUACGGUUUUGUUUAUCCAUCCUAAAUGUAAUGAUUUGCAUCUACCAACCCCAAAUUCCCAGCUCAUCCCUCUCCCUCCUCCCUUCCCCCUUCACAACUGUAAGUGUGAUCUCUGUAUAUGUGGGAUUCAGUUCUAAUUGCUGAGAAUACCUCAUUGUGGAUGUGUGUGUGUAGGAACAUAUUAUCUGCAAACAACAAGGAGAAUAUUACUUAUUUCCUUUUCUUAUUUUAUUGCUUUAGCAAAUAUAACAAUAUUGAACCAAAAUAACAAUAUUGAACCAAAGAGGUAAUUGCUGGCAUCCCUCCACAUUUCUGAACAGCAGAAAUGUCUUUACAUUGCGUGAGUAAUAUGAUGCAUGCUUGCGUACUCCGAUACUUUUUAUCGUAAGAGAAAGUUAUUGUCUAUGUAUGCCUUAGCAUUUUUACUGGGAACAACAGCAGUUUUUUGUUAGUUUUGGUUUUGGUUUUUUGGACUCUGACAAAUUGAUACGGUUUUUCUUCUUUACUUUUGAGAAUUUAAUGACUGUAAGUUGAUGGAUUUCCUGUUGAUGAAUCAUUCUGUUUCUCACCUCCUCUCUUACCACUUUUCUCGCUGCCUUCUAGAGACAGUGACCUGUUCCUCGGGCAGGACAAUCUCUUUUUCCCAUCACAGAAUUUUCAUAUUCGCUCUUCUCUCCCCCUUGAAUUCUGUUCCUCAGAUGUCUGCGUGGCUCACUCCUCAUUGUUUAGAAAAUGUAUUGGAUGCACCAGGUCUUAGCUGCGGCGUGCAGGCUCUUAUUUGUGGCGUGCAGGAUCUAGUUCCUUGCUGUUGUCGGUCAGUCACUCAGCCAUGUCCAACUCCUUGCAAACCCACUGACUGCAGCAGGCCAGGCUUCACUGUCCUUCACUAUCACCCAGAGUUUGAUCAAACCCAUGUCCACUGAGUUCAGUGAUGCCAUCCAACCAUCUCAUCCUCUGCAACCCUCUUCUCCUCCUGCCCUCAAUCUUUCCCAGCAUCAGGGUGUUUUCCAAUGAGUUGGCUCUUCACAUUAAGUGGCAAAAAUUGUGGAGCUUUGGAUUCAGCAUCAGUUCUUCCGUGAAUAUUCAGGACUGAUUUCCUUUAGGAUUGACUGGUUUGAUCUCCUUGCAGUCCAAGGGACUCUCAAGAGUCUUCUCUAGCUCCACGGCUCAAAAGCAUCAAUUCUUCGUCCCUAACCAGGGAUUGAACCUGGGCCCCCUGCAUUGGCAGCAUGUAAUCUGAACCACUUGGAGAAGGCGAUGGCACCCCACGCCAGUGCUCUUGCCUGGAAAAUCGCAUGGAUGGAGGAGCCUGGUGCGCUGCAGUCCAUGGGGUCGCGAAGAGUCAGACACGACUGAGCGACUUCACUUUCAAUUUUCACUUUCAUGCAUUGGAGAAGGAAAUGGCAACCCACUCUAGUGUUCUUGCCUGGAGAAUCCCAGGGACAGGGGAGCCUGGUGGGCUGCCAUCUAUGGGGUCGCACAGAGUCAGACACGAAUGAAGCAACUUAGCAGCAGCAGCAGCAGCAGUCUGAACCACUAGACCACCAGGGAAGUCCCUUACUCCAUCCAUUUUAUUUAAGUCCCUUUCUCAAAUAUCACUUACUGAAAGGGGUCUUCCCUUAUCGCUUUAGUAAGUUAUAGGUGGAAUUGUAUCCCCCCAAAUCCACGUGUUGAAGUUUUAGCCUUCAAUACUUCAGAAUGUGACUUUUUUUGGAAAUAAGGUUUUUUUCAGAUAUAAUCAGUUAAGGUGAGGUGCUGCUUGAGCAGGUUGAGCCCUAGCUCUAGGAUGACUGGUGCCUCAUGAAAGGGGACACGUGGGCCCACAUGCAGACAGGAAGAGCAGCACACGCAGAGGAGGGCAGAGACGGGGUGGAGUUUCUGCAGCCGAGGACGCCACAGACUGCUAGAAAAUCACUAAAAAUUGAGGAAAAGGCAUGGAACGAAUUCCUCCUCACAGCCCAUGGAAGGAAUGAACCCUGCCAACACCCUGAUCUGAGGGUUCUGGCCUCCAGACUGUGAGAUUGUAAGUUUCCGUGUGAGUCACCCAGUUAACAGCAGCCCAGGGAACUAACACCUUAACCUGUAAGAGGGCUGGGGCUUCAGCCCAGGGAUUUGGGGGGAUACAACUCCACCUGCCAUGAACCCACAGCUCACUGCCCUGCUGAGCUCCUUUGGGCUGCUAUGACAGCACCCCAGAGACUGGGUAUUCAUCGCUCACGUUUCUGGAGACUGGGAAAUCUAAGGCCGAGGCACCAGCAGACUCGGCAAAGAGACACUUCCUGGCUCAUUCGGAACUGUUUUCUUGCUGAGUCCUCCUGUGGUGGAAGGGCCAGGGAGCUUGGGCAGGG
ensembl:lncRNA